CGUGUAGGCGGUGCGGUAAGUUGGGCGUGAAAUCCCCGAGCUUAACUCGGGUGGGCCGUUCAAGACUGCCGUGCUAGGGUGCGGGAGAGGGAAGUGGAAUUUCCGGUGUAGCGGUGAAAUGCGUAGAUAUCGGGAGGAACACCUGCGGCGAAGGCGGCUUCCUGGACCGUAACCGACGCUGAGGCGCGAAAGCUAGGGGAGCAAACAGGAUUAGAUACCCUGGUAGUCCUAGCCCUAAACGAUGAGCACUGGGUGUGGCCCCUCACGGGGCCGUGCCGAAGCUAACGCAUUAAGUGCUCCGCCUGGGGAGUACGGUCGGCAAGGCUGAA
rnacentral:rRNA from 1 species